CUCCCUCUCUGGAUAUCUGGAACAAGGAGGACCUUAAACUUAACAAUAAAGCCAAUGAUGGUUCUACCAGUCUCCCCAAAGCCUCAAGUUUAAAAGCCAUAUGAACUGGCUGAUAGUGGAAAAUGGAAGCCAUGAGGAAAUCAGAUUAGAGUACUACCUGGUGAAGCCUGGAGGACCUACCAAGAAAAGCAAACUUGGAUCUUUGCAAGGUUAGAAGAACGAAUGGGAUCCAAGAAAAAGACUGGUCAUAUUCAACGGCUAAGAGCGUUGGAGAAGGCCUGUGGAGUCUCAGCAGGUCAGGUCCAUGACUCAUGAGUAGACACCUGUGUUUCUACUGCCUGGUGCCAUAAUCAUAAACAAGAGUAAUCAGCAAAUGCCUUUCCUUUCUCCUGCUGAUGUUUUGCCCGUACUCAGACCCCUUGACUUCUUAGCUUCUACCCAAAGUGAGCUUGUCAUCAAAGUUCUCCAAAAAUCUGCAGUGUUCUCUUGAGCAAAUCUGCUUCCAAGACUAUAGCGCUCUGAUGCAUUGAGAUGACAGCAAGCGGCAUUUUUCAGUCCUGUUACCCAUAUGGCUGCUACCACUGCAUCCUGUUAAAUAAUGUCUUCAACCCAAGAAACCUGCUUCCUAGGGAAGUUUCUCUCUCUCUGCAUUUGUUCCCACUAGAGAAUGACCAUCACCAGAUUCCUGAACUGAAAAUGCUGUUGACACUUUGGAAACUCGGG
rnacentral:lncRNA from 1 species